rnacentral:rRNA from 1 species
UACGGGGGGGAGCAAGCGUUGUUCGGAUUUACUGGGCGUAAAGGGCGCGUAGGCGGUCAGCACAAGUCAGUUGUGAAAUCUCCGGGCUUAACUCGGAAAGGUCAACUGAUACUGUGCGACUAGAGUGCAGAAGGGGCAACUGGAAUUCUCGGUGUAGCGGAUGAAAUGCGUAGAUAUCGAGAGGAACACCUGCGGCGAAGGCGGGUUGCUGGGCUGACACUGACGCUGAUGCGCGAAAGCCCAGGGGAGCGAACGGG